UACGAAGGGGGCUAGCGUUGUUCGGAAGCACUGGGCGUAAAGCGCACGUAGGCGGUUCUUUAAGUCAGAGGUGAAAUCCCAAGGCUCAACCUUGGAACUGCCUUUGAUACUGGGGAUCUUGAGUCCGGGAGAGGUGAGUGGAACUGCGAGUGUAGAGGUGAAAUUCGUAGAUAUUCGCAAGAACACCAGUGGCGAAGGCGGCUCACUGGCCCGGUACUGACGCUGAGGUGCGAAAGCGUGGGGAGCAAACAGG
rnacentral:rRNA from 1 species